rnacentral:rRNA from 1 species
UGGUGGGUAGUUUGACUGGGGCGGUCUCCUCCUAAAGAGUAACGGAGGAGCACGAAGGUUGGCUAAUCCUGGUCGGACAUCAGGAGGUUAGUGCAAUGGCAUAAGCCAGCUUGACUGCGAGCGUGACGGCGCGAGCAGGUGCGAAAGCAGGUCAUAGUGAUCCGGUGGUUCUGAAUGGAAGGGCCAUCGCUCAACGGAUAAAAGGUACUCCGGGGAUAACAGGCUGAUACCGCCCAAGAGUUCAUAUCGACGGCGGUGUUUGGCACCUCGAUGUCGGCUCAUCACAUCCUGGGGCUGAAGUAGGUCCCAAGGGUAUGGCUGUUCGCCAUUUAAAGUGGUACGCGAGCUGGGUUUAGAACGUCGUGAGACAGUUCGGUCCCUAUCUGCCGUGGGCGCUGGAGAACUGAGGGGGGCUGCUCCUAGUACGAGAGGACCGGAGUGGACGCAUCACUGGUGUUCGGGUUGUCAUGCCAAUGGCACUGCCCGGUAGCUAAAU